AUACGGAGGGGGUUAGCGUUGUUCGGAAUUACUGGGCGUAAAGCGUACGUAGGCGGACUGGAAAGUUGGGGGUGAAAUCCCGGGGCUCAACCCCGGAACUGCCUCCAAAACUUCCAAUCUAGAGAUCGAGAGAGGUGAGUGGAAUUCCAAGUGUAGAGGUGAAAUUCGUAGAUAUUGGGAGGAACACCAGUGGCGAAGGCGGCUCACUGGCUCGAUACUGACGCUGAGGUACGAAAGCGUGGGGAGCAAACAGGAUUAGAAACCCUAGUAGUCC
rnacentral:rRNA from 1 species